GUUGAGAUCUAGAGAGAGAGAGAGAGAGAUUCAGGAGCUUCAAGCACUUCUCAGUGUGCUCCAAGGGAUUGUCCUAGCCAUAUCAUGGGCUCGAAGCAUAACCCCCCAGUCAGCAGAACACGAAGUCCUUUGUCAAUAUUUAUUGUCUUUUGUUUGUGCUGUUUCUUUUAUGUCUUGGGAGCAUGGCAGAGGAGUGGUUUUGGUAAAGGUGAUAGAAUAGCCUUGGCAGUAACCAAACAAACAGAUUGCAAUAUCUUUCCUGAUCUGAACUUUGAAACCCAUCACAAUACUGUUGAGAUUAUCGAACCAUCUAAGCCAAAAACUAAAGUAUUCAAGCCAUGUGAUGUUAAAUACACUGAUUAUACACCUUGCCAAGAGCAAGACCAAGCAAUGAAAUUUCCACGGGAAAAUAUGAUAUACAGGGAAAGACAUUGUCCACCAGAAAAAGGAAAAUUGCAUUGUCUUAUUCCAGCACCAAAAGGGUAUAGGACCCCAUUUCCAUGGCCAAAAGGCCGUGACUAUGUCCACUAUGCUAAUGUUCCAUAUAAAAGCCUAACCGUGGAGAAGGCUGUUCAGAAUUGGGUGCAGUUUCAGGGGGAUGUGUUCAAAUUUCCAGGAGGAGGAACCAUGUUCCCUCAGGGUGCAGAUAAAUACAUUGAUGAACUUGCAUCAGUGAUCCCAAUAGCAGAUGGGUCUGUCAGGACUGCUUUAGAUACUGGUUGUGGGGUUGCAAGUUGGGGUGCGUAUCUGAUGAAAAGGAAUGUAUUGUCAAUGUCCUUUGCACCACGAGACAACCAUGAGGCACAGAUACAAUUUGCAUUGGAGCGAGGAGUACCUGCAGUUAUUGGGGUUCUUGGAUCAAUACGUCUUCCAUACCCGUCAAGAGCUUUUGAUAUGGCUCAGUGCUCUCGAUGUCUUAUACCAUGGACCUCAAAUGAGGGAAUGUACCUAAUGGAAGUUGAUCGAGUUCUCAGACCUGGAGGAUAUUGGAUCCUGUCUGGCCCUCCAAUAAAUUGGAAGACAUACUAUCAGACCUGGAAGCGGUCAAAGAAGGAUCUACAGGCUGAGCAAAGAAAGAUUGAAGAGAUUGCUGAAAGCCUUUGCUGGGAAAAAAAGUAUGAGAAAGGAGAUAUUGCUAUCUGGAGAAAACGGGAAAAUGACAAAAAUUGCCAAAGGAAGUCUAUCAGCAUGUGCAAAUCAGGCAAUGCUGAUAAUGUCUGGUACAAGGAAAUGGAAACAUGUGUAACGCCCUUCCCUAAGGUAACCAGUGCAAAAGAAGUAGCUGGUGGGGGGUUGAAGAAGUUUCCAGAAAGGCUUUUUGCAGUGCCUCCUCGAAUAGCUAAGGGACUAGUUGAGGGCGUCACAGCAGAAUCUUAUCAAGAGGACAAUAAACUUUGGAAAAAGCAUGUAAAUGAAUACAAAAGGAUCAACAAAUUGAUUGGCACCACAAGAUAUCGGAAUGUGAUGGAUAUGAAUGCAGGGCUUGGAGGCUUUGCAGCUGCACUUGAAUCACAGAAGUCUUGGGUGAUGAAUGUUGUGCCUACAAUUGCUAAGAACACUUUAGGUGUUAUUUAUGAGAGAGGACUAGUUGGAAUCUAUCAUGACUGGUGUGAAGGAUUCUCAACAUACCCAAGGACAUAUGACUUCAUUCAUGCCAGUGGUGUAUUUAGCAUGUACCAGAACACGUGUAAAUUAGAGGACAUUCUUCUGGAAAUGGAUCGCAUUUUGCGUCCCGAAGGGACUGUAAUAUUCAGAGACGAGGUUGAUGUUCUCAAUGAGGUUAGGAAAAUCUCAGGAGGCAUGAGAUGGGAUACAAAAAUGAUUGAUCAUGAGGAUGGAUCCCUUGUGCCUGAGAAGAUAUUGGUUGCUGUCAAACAGUACUGGGUCGGUGGCGCAGGAAACAGCACAUCAAAUGAUGAAUAAGCCAUAAGUCAAUUCUUUUGGAGGCAAAAAUAAUGCAAAUCAUACAGAAGUAAAGAAGUGAUUCUGUUGCUCCGAACACGGCAUGGGACUGAAGGGUUUUGAUGUUUGGAGCAGGCAUAUGUAAGUUUUUAAUACAUGUUCUUGCAGAUGUGCAGCAAAUGUAUGAAUUAUCCAAGCUAAACACUCUUGGAUUUGAUUUUGGAGAGCAGAAUAGAAUUUGUAUUUGCUGGAUAAAUAAUUGGGUGAGUAGUCAAGAUUGCAAU
rnacentral:misc_RNA from 1 species